CUCCCUUUUGGGCCGGACUACUUUACUAAUGAGCCGUCUCCCCUUCUGGCCUUCUCCCUGUCAUGAUUAAACUUAAAUCUAUUUUAAUUGCUUUAAAAAAAUCUUAAAUUUAUUAUAUAUUAUCAAUAAUUAAUUAUAAUAUUAUCCCCAAUCCUCAUUAAUACCGUCGAAAAAGUAAUUGUAUAUAUUUUUUAAUUUGACAGGUGUCAUUUUAUGAUAGAUGCGAUAUUGAUCUGUUAAUAUAAUUGAUAGAGGGAACUUGGGGAGUUUGGUGAUAGGCGGCUGGAAAAUCCAAUGGAACAGUUCCUGUGGCACAUCUGUAAUAAAACUAAAUACUAAAAUUUAACUUGAAAUCCCUUAAGACUAGUUGACUCCUUAUUUCUCGUCGACCGGCGUGUCCCCUCCGCGAUGUUUGCCGGCUCUUCCUCCGUUCCAGUAAUCGCCGGACAUCCUUCAGCAUUCCUGACUCGUCCAGACGUCGUCUAUCAUCUCCAUCUCCCUCAGAAACUACCUUGUCCUCAAGGUUAAGGGAUGGAACACACCCUCAAAUGGCCGACGUCUUCCCAAGAAGUCUCCUCCGCGUCGUGACCAGCCCACCGGAUUCUUGCCCGGUUCACCAGCCGAUCUUUCCCCAAUAAAUCCGAUCUCUUCCAGCACUUCCUCCGGGUAGAUGACAGACUCAUUUCCCACCAAAAUUUUGGGGCAAACUCCCAAUUUCAUUUAGAGGUAAUUUUCCCUUGUACUUCUUCAAUACACUGAUGUGAAAUACAUUAUGUAUCAUACUAUUAGUUGGUAGAUCAAUCAUGUAGGCUACUUCCCUGAUUUUUUUUCUUUAUCAUAUAUGGACCAUAGAAUCUUGCUGCCAAUUUAUGGUGCAGUCUUUGUGCUAUGGAAAUCUGUCUGUAAGGUUUUAAUUUCACGAAAACCCAGUCCCCAACAGUGAAUUCCACUUCACUUCUAUGAGGAUCCGCUUGUCUCUUCAUUCUUUCCCUUGCCCUGUCCAUGUUAAUUUUAACAGUCUCAAUGAUUUCUUGUCUUCUAAAUAGCAGCUCUUCCUCAGCUUCUAUAUUUGUAGAACUUCCUUUGACUUUUUCUACAAAUGACUUAGUUUCUCUAUCAUAAAGUGUCAUAAAUGGAGUCAUCUUUAUAGAGACAUUAAAAGUUGAGUUGUGUCAUAGCUUAGCCCAAGGGAUUAAUUGAAGCCAUUUUCUUGGUUGUUCAUGAACCAAGCACCUAAGAAACAUUUCAAUACCUCGAUUAACCACUUCUGUCUGUCCAUCUGUCUCUGGAUGAUAGGCAGAAGAUAAUUUGAAAGUGGUUCCACUUAGCCUAUUUAUUUCCCUCCAGAAGCUGCUUGUAAAGACUUUAUCACGAUCUGAAACGAUUGAUGAUGGAACUCCAUGAAGUCUGAUUAUUUCCUUCACAAAAUAUUCUGCUACCAUUUUAGAACUGAAAUCAGCAGGUAGGGUUCCUAAGUGGCAAAAUUUAGAUAGCCUAUCUACCACCACUAUAAUUACCGACUUCCCUCUCACCAGAGGUAGAUUUGUUAUAAAAUCUGUUGAGAGGUCACUCCAUAUUGCCUCAGGAGUAGGAAGAAGUUUUAGAAGCCCUUGUGGUUUCUUAUUGGAUGUUUUCAUCCUUUGACAUACCACACACUGGUGGUCUGUAUGGAUCACAAAGUGGUGGCCAAGCAAAUAGUGCCUCCACUUAGAAACAGCUUGUGUUAUGGCCAACAUUUCCUUUGAGUAGGUCAAAGCUAAUAACAUUCUGCCCGAUAUUUUUGAACUGAAAAAGGCAAUAGGAUGACCUUCCUGGCUUAAAACUGCUCCCACUCCAUUAAGGCAAGCAUCAGUUUCGAUAGCAAAUGGUUUUGAAAAAUCUAGAUGGUGUAGAACUGAGGCUGAUACUAUUGCUUCUUUAAAUGUCAAGAAGCUCUUGUUUGCUAAUUCACUCCAUCUAAAUUGAUCUUUUUUUAACAAGUCUGUCAUGGGAGCUGCCAAAUGAGAGUAAUUUUUAACAAAUUUUCUAUAAUACCCUGAAAGUCCUAGAAAUCCCCUCAAGGUUUUAAUAUUCUUUGGUAUUGGCCAGUUGACAAUGGCAGAGAUAUUCUCUGGGUCAGGAUUAACUCCAUUCCCUGAUAUUAUGUGCCCCAAAAAUUGUAGUUCAUUCUGAAAAAAUAGGCACUUAGAUUGUUUUGCAUAGAACUGAUUUUUUCUAAGUGUGUCCAGAACUGUCCUCAGAUGGAUCAAAUGGUCCUCUCUGGAAGAACUGAAAAUAAGAAUGUCAUCAAAGAAGAUUAGUACAAAUUUUCUUAAAAAUGGAGAAAAUAAUCUGUUCAUAGUAGCUUGAAAAGUUGUCGAGGCAUUAGUAAGCCCAAAAGGCAUCACUAGGAACUCAUAAUGUCCCUGAUGAGUUCUGAAAGCUGUUUUCUCCACAUCAUUUGGAUUUAUCAAUAUUUGAUGGUAACCCCAUCUAAGGUCCAAUUUUGAGAAUAUUUUACUCCCUUUUAAUUCAGCCAGAAUUUCAUUCACUGUUGGUAUAGGGAAUUUAUCUUUGAUAGUUAUUUUAUUUAAGGCCCUAUAAUCCACACACAGCCUCCAACUACCAUCUUUUUUUUACAAGUAGAACUGGGGAAGAGUAGGGGUUGCUGCUCUCCCUAAUUAUCUGCUGCCUUAACAUCUCUUGGACUAUCCUUUCAAUUUCAUCCUUUUGGAACUGUGCCUGCCUAUAAGGUCUAACACUGACCAGAUCAGCUAGAUUUUCAAGUGUGAUGUUGUAGAAUUGUGACCUUGCUGGUGGUAAUCCUGUUGGCUCAGUGAACACAUCACAAAACUCAUUUAGAAUGGGGUUCAGUUCUCCUUCCUGAAUUUCAGAAUUACUGAAUUUUUUUUGUUCUUCCUCUUUUAAUUCCCCAACAUAUUCAAAUCUGCAAAAG
rnacentral:lncRNA from 1 species